rnacentral:sRNA from 3 species
CCGGGGGCAAGAGGUUCGACUCGAGCGCAGCGAGAGAACGUUGCGUCAGCAACGGCCCGCAGGGCGAGCCACGCAGUGGCGAGUCAUCCUCUAUCACCGACCA